GGGGGGGCGGGGGGACGCGGGCUGCACCCCGGGCAGACGCUCUGCAAUGAGACAGUAAAUGCAUCCCCCGGGAGAAGGGAGAUGCCUGGAGUGAAGAGCGGGUGUGAUGGCUCCUCCCAGCAUCUCUGAGCUGCCUGUACUGGGAAGCCAGGAGGAUGAACCAACUGACCACUUUGUGAACUACUGGAUCCUUCCUUACCGUAGGUGCUUUGAAAAUCCAAAGUCUUAACAGUUUAUGAGACGCAGAUGUGUUUAGCCCACUGUGUGAUAUGGUUUCUGUCCAGUGGGGCUUCACUGACCAUGUCCCCGGCCUCACACACAUAGCUGUCUUCUCUGUCUGCACUUAACUUUUCUCCUAAGUUGUUGGCAUAGUUUAUUGGGCAGCCUUGCUCUGGUUAGUGACUUUCAGAGAAACUAGAGAAAGAAAUUUGGGAGUUUGCCGAGACAUAGCAGAAACUAUAGAAGCAAACAUAAAAGCAAAUGCUAGAGA
rnacentral:lncRNA from 1 species